AUGCAUGUCUAAGUAUAAGCAACUAUACUGUGAAACUGCGAAUGGCUCAUUAAAUCAGUUAUCGUUUAUUUGAUAGUACCUUACUACUUGGAUAACCGUGGUAAUUCUAGAGCUAAUACAUGCGAAAAACCCCGACUUCGGAAGGGGUGUAUUUAUUAGAUAAAAAACCAAUGCCCUCCGGGGCUUCCUGGUGAUUCAUAAUAACUAAACGAAUCGCAUGGCCUUGCGCCGGCGAUGGUUCAUUCAAAUUUCUGCCCUAUCAACUUUCGAUUGUAGAGUAGUGGUCUACAAUGGUUUCAACGGGUAACGGGGAAUUAGGGUUCGACUCCGGAGAGGGAGCCUGAGAAACGGCUACCACAUCCAAGGAAGGCAGCAGGCGCGCAAAUUACCCAAUCCCGACACGGGGAGGUAGUGACAAUAAAUACUGAUACAGGGCUCUUUUGGGUCUUGUAAUUGGAAUGAGUACAAUUUAAAUCCCUUAACGAGGAACAACUGGAGGGCAAGUCUGGUGCCAGCAGCCGCGGUAAUUCCAGCUCCAGAAGCGUAUAUUAAAGUUGUUGCAGUUAAAAAGCUCGUAGUUGAAUUUUGGGCCUGGCUGGCCGGUCCGCCUCACCGCGUGCACUGGUCCGGCCGGGCCUUUCCUCCUGGGGAUCCGCAUGCCCUUUACUGGGUGUGUUGGGGAACCAGGACUUUUACUUUGAAAAAAUUAGAGUGUUCAAAGCAGGCCUUUGCUCGAAUACAUUAGCAUGGAAUAAUAGAAUAGGACGGCUUUCCUAUUUUGUUGGUUUCUAGGGGAGCCGUAAUGAUUAAUAGGGAUAGUCGGGGGCAUCAGUAUUCAAUUGUCAGAGGUGAAAUUCUUGGAUUUAUUGAAGACUAACUACUGCGAAAGCAUUUGCCAAGGAUGUUUUCAUUAAUCAGUGAACGAAAGUUAGGGGAUCGAAGACGAUCAGAUACCGUCGUAGUCUUAACCAUAAACUAUGCCGACUAGGGAUCGGGCGAUGUUACUAUCUUGACUCGCUCGGCACCUUACGAGAAAUCAAAGUUUUUGGGUUCUGGGGGGAGUAUGGUCGCAAGGC
rnacentral:rRNA from 1 species